rnacentral:SRP_RNA from 2 species
GGUGGGUCUCCUUGCAUUGUCUACUGCAAAAUCUGGUCAGGUCGGGAACGAAGCAGCCAUAUGCGGAUCAGCAAGUGCCAAGGGUUAGGCUCACCUAU